rnacentral:rRNA from 1 species
AACGAACGCUGGCGGCAGGCCUAACACAUGCAAGUCGAACGCACCGCAAGGUGAGUGGCGCACGGGUGAGUAACACGUGGGAAUGUAUCCUUUGGUUCGGAAUAACGUCUGGAAACGGACGCUAAUACCGGAUGAGCCCUAUGGGGGAAAGAUUUAUCGCCGAAGGAGCAGCCCGCGUCUGAUUAGGUAGUUGGUGGGGUAAAGGCCUACCAAGCCGACGAUCAGUAGCUGGUCUGAGAGGAUGAUCAGCCACACUGGGACUGAGACACGGCCCAGACUCCUACGGGAGGCAGCAGUGGGGAAUAUUGGACAAUGGGCGCAAGCCUGAUCCAGCCAUGCCGCGUGAGUGAUGAAGGCCUUCGGGUUGUAAAGCUCUUUCGCACACGACGAUGAUGACGGUAGUGUGAGAAGAAGCCCCGGCUAACUUCGUGCCAGCCGCCGCCGAAUAC